rnacentral:rRNA from 1 species
UAGAGGAAGUAAAAGUCGUAACAAGGUUUCCGUAGGUGAACCUGCGGAAGGAUCAUUACUGAAAAGUUCUCUCAAUGAACCUAUCAAUACCCCAUUGUUUACCUUACCAUGUUGCUUCCACUGGACAGGCCGGUCUCCUUUCGGGGACCAGCCCUCUGGCGUCGACUUAAAAAAUCGAUUUGCUGGGGAGUGCCGGUGGAUAGCCAUCAACCUAACAAAAAACUUUCUAACUAAGCUCUAUAUCGUCUGAACAACUGUUUUAUAACAAAAAACAUUAUAAAACUUUCAACAACGGAUCUCUAGGCUCUUGCAUCGAUGAAGAACGCAGUGAAAUGCGAUACGUAAUGUGAAUUGCAGAAUCUCGUGAAUCAUUGAAUCUUUGAACGCACAUUGCGCCUUAUGGUAUUCCAUAAGGCAUGCCUGUCUGAGCGUCAGCUCCCCCCCACUCAAGCUCUUUUGCUUGGAUUAUUUUGGAUAAGCAGCUGGUUUAGCGGUUGCUGUUCACAAAUUCAUAGGCAGUAUGGUUUUCUUUCCAGGCUGAGCGUGAUAAAUUACACUUAUACCGUUCAAUAUUGGAGGCAUCGUACUCGCCCUUAACCCACAAUAACUUUGAUAUUUUGGGUGACCUCAGAUCAGGUAGGGAUACCCGCUGAACUUAAGCAUAUCA